UCUGUGAGACUGGUAUGGAUGAGGC
rnacentral:piRNA from 1 species